rnacentral:rRNA from 1 species
UCCUACGGGAGGCAGCAGUAGGGAAUCUUCUGCAAUGGACGAAAGUCUGACGGAGCAACGCCGCGUGAGUGAUGAAGGCUUUCGGGUCGUAAAACUCUGUUGUUAGGGAAGAACAAGUGCUAGUUGAAUAAGCUGGCACCUUGACGGUACCUAACCAGAAAGCCACGGCUAACUACGUGCCAGCAGCCGCGGUAAUACGUAGGUGGCAAGCGUUAUCCGGAAUUAUUGGGCGUAAAGCGCGCGCAGGUGGUUUCUUAAGUCUGAUGUGAAAGCCCACGGCUCAACCGUGGAGGGUCAUUGGGAACUGGGAGACUUGAGUGCAGAAGAGGAAAGUGGAAUUCCAUGUGUAGCGGUGAAAUGCGUAGAGAUAUGGAGGAACACCAGUGGCGAAGGCGACUUUCUGGUCUGUAACUGACACUGAGGCGCGAAAGCGUGGGGAGCAAACAGGAUUAGAUACCCUGGUAGUCCACGCCGUAAACGAUGAGUGCUAAGUGUUAGAGGGUUUCCGCCCUUUAGUGCUGAAGUUAACGCAUUAAGCACUCCGCCUGGGGAGUACGGCCGCAAGGCUGAAACUCAAAGGAAUUGACGGA